rnacentral:lncRNA from 1 species
GCCGCAUCUGCCUCCCCCGGCUCGCUCACCUCCCGGCUGCGAGGCACUAUUUGUGGCCGGCGCGGUGGAAGGACACAGCGCGCGCCGCCCGCCGCCCGCCCCCCGCCGCCCCGCGCGCCCGGGCCAGCGCAAGGAUCUCCGAGUUGCGAGUGUGCUGAGGCCGGGACUGUCACUCAUUCUGCGCUCAGCGCGUGAACGCGGCUCGGCGGCGGCUGGCAGGAAACAAUUCUGCGAAAAGGAAUCCUCCUCCCGCCUGGCAAUUGUCUGCCCCCGGCCCCGGGGCUCCGCCGCCGUCCGCGCUCGCUGCGAGAGGGGGGGCCGAGAACCGACCGCGGCGACGACACCCCCUGCCAGCCCGCAGACGACAAUGCUGCCCCGCGGGGCUCUCGUCGGCACUUUGUUUUUCCUGGGAACCGCAGGUAAGGAACUGCAAAUUGCAUUCACCUGCUGGAACACCACCAGCUUAUAUAACAUGCAGACAGAGAUUGCCUUUUGCCUAUUGGGGAUUCUUUAAGAGAAAAAGUGAUUGAUUGUGAGAAUCUCAAGUCUAGUAUGGAUCUUUGGCUGAUUGGUUUCUUUUCUCCUGAGGCCUAGUGGAGGAGGAGGCUCAGGUUUUGUGUGGGCCUCUGUAGUUGCACAGUUUUGUCAGUUGCUCACAAACACGGGGACAAUCCACAGACAUUUCACAGAGAAGCUCUGUAAAGACCAAAGUGUCAAGAGAAAGGGAAUAUUGGCCUAGCUCCACACUUGGAAGCAAGAUGAGUAUAAC